CCGCUUUUUAAUUUCUGAGGGAGAGGCGCACCUUUCCGGCAGUCUCGUCGGCGCGUGUGUGACCUUUCCCUCCCAAUUUCAGUUUCUGUUCUUCAACGCCGGCUGAUGGGUCAGAGGGUGAAGCGGUGGUGAGCGACUUUCUUCUCCGGUGGUGUGAGGUGUGGUUUGGUCCUUCAUUCGAUGCUUACGGUGGCUCUCCUUCACGGCAGCUGAGAAACGGUCCAUGCGUUCUACUGGUUAAAGGACUCCGGUGGAUUGGAUCUGGUUUCUCACGGCUCGGCGGCUGAUGAGUUGUAGCUCCGACAGGCGGAAGUUGAGUGAUGGAUCGGUGGGUUCGCCACUUUGCGAAGAGGUUAACAGUGGAUCCUUGGCCGGAUCCUUUGGCUAGUUUCGGAUGAUCCUUGGCCGGAUCUUGGUGGUUGAUGGCUUGUUUUGAGCCGGCGUCCUUCAUCUGCUACCGUUUUUGGCUUCCUCUUUGCCGGAUCUGAAGACUGGAUCAACUUCUGGAGUGGUUCAAGGGUGAACGUCGAGGGAGGUAAGGGUUAGUUUUGAUGUCUCUCUUCUUGCUAGGUCGGGGAGAAGAGGUCUUGGGUCUCGGUUGUGGCGGUUCUACCUUUCCCGAAAGGAAAGUUCUAGGUUCGGUUUGUUUCUCGGCGACAGGUUGCGACGGGAUUUGCUAGCUCCGGUCAAUGUCUCGAUGUCGAGGACUUGUCCGCAAAGGAACCGUUCUUGUUAGCAUCGGAUAUGGAAGGCGAGGAUCGUGUUUUCCGGUGUACUGCCUUCUUCAGAUCUUACUUCGCUGUGUUUUUCCGAUUUGGGCCGUUCCUUUUUUGUAACCCGUUUAUUUCUCUUGGCCCAUCAGCCAAAGCCCAAUUUUGGGAUUUAAUAAUA
rnacentral:lncRNA from 1 species